CUCCGCUGCAGCUGCCCUCUCAUCAGACUCCUUGAGAACCCUGCGAGUAUGAGACAACUCUGCUUCCAGGGACUUGGUGUGCUCCAGUGCCUCAGCCACCCUCCCGUCAGCUCUUUUAAGGGCCUCCAAUGCAGAAUGCAGCUCCACCUGGAGGGACUGGGUAUGAACUCGAGCUGCUGCGAGGUUGCCCCUGGCAUCACUAGUUGCGGAUAAAUUCUCCUCCAGACGCGCCUCCUCAAUCCGGCGGUCCACAGAUUCCCGGAGAGAGUGGUCGCGAGCAUCCACCUCCAUAAAGAGGCCCGUCACCUAAUACAAAGGAAAAACUGUUAAAACAAAGAAAACCAGAAGGAAAACAAAGGAGGUAGCUUAGCUUACCAUCAGAAGCAUCUCCCUGAUUGUGUCUCCAAGCUCCCCACGAGGUCGAGAACGGAACGCUGCUUGCUCCCUAGUAGAGCUAGCUAAGAGAC
rnacentral:lncRNA from 1 species